rnacentral:lncRNA from 1 species
UGCACCCCGAGUCUCAAAUGCCCACGUGUUUGGUUUUCUCUUUGUGACAGAAUUCCUGACGUAAACAACUCGAAAGGACGACUUAUUUUAAUUCCCCGUUUCAUUGGUUGCCGUCCAAGAUUAGCUGGAUACAUAGAUCUGAGCUUGGGGAGCCGCAAGCGGCAUGAUGGUUGGAAGAGUAAGACGGGGACUGCUCACCUGGAGUUUUCCCAUUGACUUGUGAACGCUGCACACACACAUAAGGCAAGCCCCGCCCCCCGGCCGUUAAUAGGCUCUGAGUUCACCUUUACUGCCACACCCAGACACGGACUGUCUUCAUCUCUCAGGUAUGGCCAAGUGAGACAAGGACAAAAGAGCCAUUUGGUCUACCUGCCUCACCUAUCUUGGACUCCUGCAACAAAAUGAUUUGAGGCAAAGUCUUGGUCUAAUUAAUUGAUGAGCUAUAUGUAUAGCAGACAAGAGAACCCUGGUCAAUGGAACCCCAAAGUCUGUGGAGACUGAUAAAAUAUCCAGCGGAGAUGUUCCAAGAAGACUGAUGUACAAACUGGCCAGACCCUUUACAAAGGCGUGUGGUAAGUUCUUGAAAAAAGUGAAAUCCUGCCGGGC